rnacentral:rRNA from 1 species
GCCCUUACGUCCGGGGCUACACACGUGUUACAAUGGCGCAUACAGAAUGUUGGUCUCAUGCAAAUGAGAUCUAAUCUUCAAAGUGCGUCUCAGUUCGGACUGGGGUCUGCAACCCGACCCCACGAAGCUGGAUUCGCUAGUAAUCGCGCAUCAGCCAUGGCGCGGUGAAUACGUUCCCGGGCCUUGUACACACCGCCCGUCAAGCCAUGAAAGCCGGGGGCGCCUAAAGUCCGUGACCGCAAGGGUCGGCCUAGGGUGAAACUGGUGAUUGGGGCUAAGUCGUAACAAGGUAGCCGUACCGGAAGGUGCGGCUGGAACACCUCCUUU